rnacentral:misc_RNA from 1 species
GAUGAAGAACGCAGCGAAAUGCGAUAAGUAAUGUGAAUUGCAGAAUUCAGUGAAUCAUCGAAUCUUUGAACGCACAUUGCGCCCGCCAGUAUUCUGGCGGGCAUGCCUGUCUGAGCGUCAUUUCAACCCUCAUGCCCCUAGGGCGUGGUGUUGGGGAUCGGCCAAAGCCCGCGAGGGACGGCCGGCCCCUAAAUCUAGUGGCGGACCCGUCGUGGCCUCCUCUGCGAAGUAGUGAUAUUCCGCAUCGGAGAGCGACGAGCCCCUGCCGUUAAACCCCCAACUUUCCAAGGUUGACCUCAGAUCAGGUAGGAAUACCCGCUGAACUUAAGCAUAUCAAUAAGCGGAGGA